rnacentral:rRNA from 1 species
UACGUAGGGUGCAAGCGUUGUCCGGAAUUAUUGGGCGUAAAGAGCUCGUAGGCGGUCUGUCACGUCGGCUGUGAAAACCCGGGGCUCAACCCCGGGCCUGCAGCCGAUACGGGCAGACUAGAGUUCGGCAGGGGAGACUGGAAUUCCUGGUGUAGCGGUGAAAUGCGCAGAUAUCAGGAGGAACACCGGUGGCGAAGGCGGGUCUCUGGGCCGAUACUGACGCUGAGGAGCGAAAGCGUGGGGAGCGAACAGG